AUAAAUAAAAAUCCCCAAAAAAAUUCAGGAGAAACAUCUGAGAAAAUAGUGGUACUUUAACAAAACAUACUGUAACUCUCCAUUUAAAACUUCUGAGCUAUGAAAGAGCAACAUCUGAGCAAUUAUAAUUUAUAUAAUUUUAUCGGUAUUGUAGAUAUGGCAUUCUCCUUCAACCUUGUGAUUGACAUUUCUAAGCGAAUCAUCAGUGUUUGUCCAUAAUGACAGCUCAUCUCUUCUCCAGCAGACCAAAUGAAGCUGGGCUGUGAGAGAAGCAUUUGAGAGACUGAAUAAGUGUGUCAGGAGUCGUCUCUGAUAAACGUUGUCUUUUUUUAUUGUAACCACAGUUGCCUGGCAACGGUUCCUGCUCUUAUCUUGUUCCGUCUGAGUCUGAUAAGCUACUGUGAGUCGGAGGUGGAUGGAGGUGUUUUGUAAUAGAGAGUGAUUUCACCGCACUGAGAAAAUAUUGCGACAGAUGGAGAUGUAUGCAGAAAAACAGUCUAGAAAGGUCCUCCAAGUACAGGAAGAGGUUAUGUGAAAUAAAGGGAUGGAGGAAUUCUGAAGAAACAUCAACAAACUUAACACAUCAAUGGAACUCUAGUGAGAACUUCAUGAAGCCUCCUGUGAAAUGAUAAUUUCCUCUGGGAAUAAUGAAAGGAGAGGAGGGGAAAACAAUGCUGAGUCAAGACUUUUCCUCUGACCUCAAUAUUUGUAUUCUCACUUAAUGGGGGUGGGGUGCAGAUAAACAAAUGGACUGUGUGAAUGUGUUUCUGUGUACUUAUCAAGAGGAAAUAGUCUUAUCUGCCUCAGUAAACAAUACAUACACUUCCGAGAGGAAAGUUGUGGACUUCUUAACAGACACUUUCCAAGAACACAGUCACAAUGAUUAGGAAGUGCUCCAGAGGUACCUCCAUAUUCUGAGGACCAAAAGGAACAGCCAUCAGCUCAAUUUCCAUACAGAGAGGUGUCACUGCUGGAAGUGUGUAAACAGGCCCAUGGAAAUGAAAAAUAAGGUCGAGAGCAGACAACUUCCUGUUUCAAAGUGAAAGUGAGGCCAGUCUACAAUCCAGGGUUUAUUGCUGCAGCUGAACCACACACUUUUCAACUGAUGCUUACACCAACACCUGGAUUAACUCACCCAGCGCUCAAGAACAGCACAGCUUUGGAUCUCAGAAGUGAAGUGCUGGAGACCAGCUGACACCCUGUUUACACCUGGUAUUAAUCCAAAUCACAAAUUCCCAUUAUUAAACACAGGUUUAAACUGGGUUCAACACAUAGUAACACACUGACAUAGUGAGCGAAAAUAUGUCACAGAAGACACAUUUGAGACAUAUUAAUACCAGAUAUAAACAACUUGUCUUGACCACAGACGGAUCUUAAUUCCAGGUGUAAACAAACAUAAUACUCUUCUCUCUCCGUGUUUGGCAGACCUUUGAGAACGCAAGGCCUCUAUCAUCAAGUGGCAAAGAGAGAGAAAGAGCAGUUUCUCUUAUAAUUCUCUUCAUCUAUGUAAUCAUGACUCUGCACCCUUUCAUCAUUUAGAGUUUACAUACCUAAUCACUCUUUUUUUUCCUUUGUAUAAAAUUCUUUGUUGUUAUUGGCUAUAGUCUCACCAACAAAAGUUUUCUGAAAGAGAGAGAGGGAAAAAAAAAAAAAAAAAAAAAAAAAAAAAAGAGGGAGUUGGCUUAGAACUAGAAGUAAUUGAGGGAGUGUACACGUGUACACAGCAGGGAUGCAGCUCUUUAUUUAUUUACUUAUUUUAAAAUCAACCCUGCAUCUAUAUAAGCCAAUAUAAAAAGUUAUUUUUCCAAAUAGAAUACAAUCUUUUUUUUCCCCUAAUGCCAAUUUUUUUUUUUUACAAAAUUACUCAACCUUUUUGAUGUCUGAUUUUACUUCUCUACAACUUCUUUUAAACAAACAAACAAACUUGUCAGACAUUUCCAGUUGCUUUCCUAUCAGUCCUGAUAUUUUGUAAGAAUAUUACAGUUCAGUGGUCCCACUAUGAUUUUAAAGGCUUUGUCAAACAUGACAAAAUGCUGUUUUAUUGUAUUUAUUGUAAUUUAUUUCCUUUAUGCGUAACACCUGGACUUUGUAAGCACCUGAAAGCUUUUUGUAAUACCGUCAUCCUUUACAGUCAUGCCAAUGCUUUGCUGAUUCAGACACUCUAAAAGAAAUUAAAAAGAGCUCUGGUGGAAAGAGAGAUCUGUGUAAAGGGAUCAAAUGCAGGUGUUACUGGGUGAGGGCAGUCAUGCAUCUGUCACAGGGAAAUUUAUAUUUAUACUGCACACCUUCAGAAAAUAAAAGCAGCUCUCAACUUCA